UUUUGUCAAGUAAUUCAGCAUUUCCCUGAAUUUUGGGCAAGUUUUUACUACUUCAACUCGGAGAAGUGUAGUUUGCUGAAUUUCACGGUCGACUGUUAGUAUUUUAGCUCGUUCUCGACGUAGGAGCAUCGGAUUGCGACGAGACUUGGUUCGUUGGACUCGGGACUUCGAGAGGAAUCCACGAAGCCCUUACUUGCGGAUUUUGGUGAAGGUUAGCUUGGUCGAAAUCCUUCUCUUCUCUGCUGCUGUGGAUUUUGGACUGAAUUGAGAUUUUUCGGUGUUUUUAGUUUGGAGUUAGCUCGAUUUCGGGACUCCGGCGUUUUCAGUCGAUCCAGCAGGUGGUGUCGCAGUCGAGGGGGUUCCGGGCUGCCAGGGAUUAGCGUGCGAGGUGGGUUACAUCGGUUUUGAAUCCUAAGUUCUAAUCGUCGACAUGUAUAAAUUUUGAUUUGUUGAUAUAGCCUUUUCUAGCUCAAAUUCAUGGAUUAUAUGGUAGAUUGCAUAUCUGAAUUUAGAGCAUGUGGUAUGAAAUUGAGUAGUUUAUACAUGUUGGACUUGAAAAUUAAAUUAGGAGAAAACCUGCGAUUUGGACCUGUCACUUGUUUAAACUGCCUGAUUUAGCUCUAGGAGCCGUUAUAAAAUUGUACUGUCGCAGUAUCCUCGAGACGAGUACUUCAGGUAGUUUAGAAUACUUAUACGCCUGUGCUGGUAUGCCGAGUGGAUUUUUACAGGGUCGUUCUGAUUGUUCCGGACUGUUGGGUGCCGUCAGAGUUGAUGGUGGACCGUAUCGCCUUUUGGCGUCAGAUUGUGCCGAGGGCACGUUACUUGUUGGUUGUUAGACCAGGUUGAGUCAGUUACUUGGACUUUGGCUUGACAGAGCCUAAUUGAGCUCGACAGAGAUACGCUGCAUACUCGGUUGGGUAGCGCCCACGAGUGCCACUCCGGAGUCAGGCUUUGUGCUUUUGCGUUGGUGUCGCUCAUGCCAGUUGGACUUGCUCUCCACAGACCAGUUAGUGUGGAGGUAGCUGGACAGUCGCAACGGGGCAGGGACGGGUGUAUUCACAAUCCCAGGGAUGGGUAUGUUUACAGUCCCGAUUGGAUUGGGUCAGAUUUGACAUUUCCUACAGUUGGUUAGUGUAGAGCAUAAUAGUGUAGUGAUCGAUAGCGGUAGAGUUUACUUCCUGCUUUUCCGACUACUCUUGCUCCCCUCUGUAGACUUAGUGGGUGGACUGAUGUUGUUUUGGGCGGCACCCACUUAGGACUACUUAUUUUUACAGUAGUUCUCACGCCUAGUGGUUACCCCUGUUUUGCAGAGUCACAGGUUUCGGCUGCUGCACCUUCCGCGAAUCAGGAUCGAGACAACGGCGUCGCGAGCUAGAGCCCUACCCGACGAGCAGAGCUAGAGGCACCCCUACUGCAGGUAGACGUUUUUGUUUCGAGUUUAUGUACAUAGUAG
rnacentral:lncRNA from 1 species